rfam:Glycine soja cultivar W05 scaffold524_39, whole genome shotgun sequence.
UUCUUAUUAGAUGAUAACUGUCACGUGUCAUGUUCUGAUUAAAUGUCAACUCCAUGAAAGAUGAAAUACUCAUUGACCAAUCAGAACAUGACAUGUGGCAGUCAAUAUCA